rnacentral:rRNA from 1 species
GAUGAACGCUGGCGGCGUGCCUAAUACAUGCAAGUCGAGCGAACAGACGAGGAGCUUGCUCCUCUGACGUUAGCGGCGGACGGGUGAGUAACACGUGGAUAACCUACCUAUAAGACUGGGAUAACUUCGGGAAACCGGAGCUAAUACCGGAUAAUAUAUUGAACCGCAUGGUUCAAUAGUGAAAGACGGUUUUGCUGUCACUUAUAGAUGGAUCCGCGCCGCAUUAGCUAGUUGGUAAGGUAACGGCUUACCAAGGCAACGAUGCGUAGCCGACCUGAGAGGGUGAUCGGCCACACUGGAGCUGAGACACGGUCCAGACGCCUACGGGAGGCAGCAGUAGGGAAUCUUCCGCAAUGGGCGGAAGCCUGACGGAGCAACGCCGCGUGAGUGAUGAAGGUCUUCGGAUCGUAAAACUCUGUUAUUAGGGAAGAACAAAUGUGUAAGUAACUAUGCACGUCUUGACGGUACCUAAUCAGAAAGCCACGGCUAACUACGUG